AAGAAAUAUUACUGUGAAUGAAUCUAUAGCACCAAAGAGAUGACUAAUUUAUAACUCGUACUGGAGUAAACCCUAACUCUAUGCUAAAUUGUUUUUUAUGCAUAUCUCACAACAAUCCCACUUUUGGCAGAGACAGUCCUGAUUUUGGGGUUCUUUCCUGCUUAGUUUCUUGAUGUUCCAUGUCUGGGUGUACCAGGAAACCGUCCCCACUUAGCACAGUGUGAGCUCGUGACCAUGCAGAGGCUGGGGCUAUCCAGAUAGCUUUUUUGGGUGAACUCACCUCUUUUAGGUAUCGCUAGUGACGCAGGUCACCUCACUGGUGACAGUCCUCAGGGCCCCAUCCACGCCCUUCCCUAUUCUCCCUCCAGAUUUUUAGGAGGUGUAUUUUAUGUUUGACAGAUUACUAUAUGAAUUUAAGUGAUUGCAUCCAAUUGAGUAAAUAAUGGUAAAAUAACACACGAGUCAUCCAUUAAAAGGGAGGGUAGCACUUUGUAAAUAUUGUCUGUCCUUGAUUUGCUUGGAAAUUUUUCAGUGACUUUGUCACAAUGUUCCUAUUUGAAAUUCUCUCAGAGCACUUGUUGACAUCAUAUUUAGAUCAGUGGUUCUUAGUAGGUUCUUAUGGGCCACCAACAGUUAAAGGACCACUAUAGUGCCAGGAAAACAAACUCGUUUUCCUGGCAUUAUAGUGCCAUGAGGGUGCCCCCAUUCUCAGGGUCCCACUCCCGCUGCGCUGAAGGGGGAGGAAGGGGGUUAGUCCCUUACCUUUUUUCCAGCGCCGGACUCCAUCGGCGCUUGGACUCUCCUCCCUCUUCUGAUGUCAUCGGCUGAAUGCGCAUGCAAUGAGACAGCCACUAAAGGCUGGAUUAACCCUAAUGUAAACAUAGCAGUUUCUCUGAAACUGCUAUGUUUACAGCCGAAAGGGUUAAUCCUAGAUGGACCUGUCACCCAGACCACUUCAUUGAGCUAAAGUGGUCUGGGUGUCUAUAGUGGUCCUUUAAGGUUUUCUUGGUUUCCCUGAUGAAAAAGUAAUCUACAGAUUCUGGAUGACUGGUGAUUCACAUGUACUGAGUUGAGAGCCACUGCUCUAGGAGCAUUCUAUUAAACUUUAGUCUGGGGGGUGAUGAGUAUGGGCAACUGAUGUUGGCAGUGUUUUUUGGGUUAGGACUGUUUUAUAAAUUUUGCCUCCCAUUCAUCAGUGUAAAUGCAUUGGUGAGUUUUAGCUGCCAUGUUUCUAUAUAGAGAUGUGUUCUAAUUGGAUUGAUUGUACUUCUGCAAAGUAAAUAAUAGGUCUGCCACUAUGAUCACUAUUUUAUUACCAUAUAGUUUACUCAGUCUGGUCUAUACAUACAGGGUUAUUUACUAAAUUGAGAAAAAAGGGGCUCCGUCACCGCACACGUACCUUUCUCCCAUUUUUUCCUCUUCUCUUCCUCUGUCAGAAUCUGUUCUUCUUGACAAAGGAUGUAGUUUAAGGUAAGUUGCUCCCUUUCUCAAGAUUACCAAGUGAAGAAAAAAUACACGUUUUUUUUCCCUAUAUAAAUUUUUAUUGAAUUUUAACAUAUUGUACAAUAUUCAUUAAGACAAAAAAAGACUAAAAAACAAAAACAUGAACAGCAAACAAAGACAAAGUGGUGUAUAAACACUAUCACAAGUAUCUUCAGUGCUAUAAUCCAUAUUUGUACAUAUAUGCUGUCAUAUUGAUCAUUUCA